rnacentral:rRNA from 1 species
AGCGAACGCUGGCGGCAUGCCUAACACAUGCAAGUCGCACGGGGGGGCUUCGGCCUCCCAGUGGCGGACGGGUGAGGAACGCGUAGGGACCUGUCGAGGGGUGGGGGAUAACCGCGGGAAACUGCGGCUAAUACCGCAUGACGCCGCGGCGUGACAGCCGGGGCCAAAGGCGAAAGCCGCCCGCCGAGGGGCCUGCGUCCGAUUAGCUGGUUGGCGGGGUAGCGGCCCACCAAGGCGUCGAUCGGUAGCUGGGCUGAGAGGGUGAUCAGCCACACCGGGACUGAGACACGGCCCGGACUCCUACGGGAGGCAGCAGUGGGGAAUAUUGGACGAUGGGCGCAAGCCUGAUCCAGCAAUGCCGCGUGGGUGAAGAAGGUCUUCGGAUUGUAAAGCCCUUUCGGCGGGGACGAUGGUGACGGUACCCGCAGAAGAAGCCCCGGCUAACUUCGUG